UGGAUAGAAGAGGGGAGCAGACCUGUUAAGAUGCUACUGGAAUAGCAGAGGCAAGAGGUGAUGGUGGCUCAGAACAAGCCGGAACAAGCCUGGAGCCUUCAGAGAUGAUUUGCAGCUCCAGAGAUCGCCAGCAUCGGGCAGGACCAGUUCACAGCACUUUGGAUAAGCGGAAUGCAGCUGCACAAAAGCAAGAUAAAGCUCGACCAUCAAGAUGAUGAACAAUCUGGAUGAAGAGCCUUCGAGAUGAACACAAAAGCUGGAGAUGUGCAGUUGAUGUAGGCCUGGACAGCUGAAGAAUGCUGUGGACUAACGAUGAAUAGCCCUCAUUUGUGAAUAUACAGAUUUUCCACGAUGAAUAAAAACUGAGUGGAGGUCACAAUAAAUAAACUUUCACCCCCCCCCUUCUUCUUCAAUAAUAAUUCAGGUUCCCGGCACCAAACAGCUGUAAAUUGAAGGUUGUGCUUAGUUUUCUCAACUCUCAAAGGGGAUAAUUAAGCUAAGAUCACAUUGUUUGAUAUAUUAGUGUAAUGAUGAGCUACUAUAUUCUGCUUGUUUCGAGUUAUUUUAGUUUUUCUUUCCCAUUAUCUUUUUUUAAAUUACAUUUCAAAUACAUUUUAAAUGUAGGAACAGCAGUUCUGAAACAGAGUUUGCCCUGUGUUUGGAUCUAUUUGAAAUGUAUUCAUAUAACAUUUAAUUAAAGCAGCAACAUCCCCCUUUAGAAAAUGCGUGGAGGUAGAAAUAUCUAUAUUAUCUGACUAGUUCUGACACAAUCUUGCCAAAAGGCUGACUCUUUUUCCUUAUUGGUGCAAGAUAAUUAGACCAUCAUUAACCUCCUGAAGCAUCACUGUCAGUAUUUCUUGUGUUAUAGAAUCAGGAUUUGGGAAGAUUUUCAUAAUUUUGCUUAAGAUCACUGAGAAGGCAAAGAUCAGUUCUGAAACAUGCUCAGCUUAAAAGAUUUCUGAAAACCAGAAAUCACAAGGCUACACUUUAAAAAGGAACUCAGCCCAAGAGAGAUGCUACAGACGGUGUCCCUGUGCUCUUUUAACACCCUCUUCUAUUUGUGAAGUUUUGACAAGAAAAAGGCACAAAUACUGUUUUGUGUUUUAUUAAUGGAGGUUAGAUUGUCGCUUUCUUCCAGUAAUGUCUGAACUGAAAAAGUAUUGGAAAAUCUGAAUAUCUACACCAAAUAAAAAAGAGAAACAUUACAUUUCUAGAAUGUUUUCUCCCUACUUUUUGGUAAUUAUAAAAUAUUCUUUGUUUCAAAGGCAGUUUAGUGGA